GGGGGAGUAGUACAGUGGUAGUACUUGUAAUCUUGUAGUAGGCCCUACCUGUUUGAGAAUCCGCAGAGUACGGGUUUAAUUCCCGUCUCCUCCA